GUACGUUAGCGGCGGACGGGUGAGUAACACGUGGGUAACCUACCUAUAAGACUGGGAUAACUUCGGGAAACCGGAGCUAAUACCGGAUAAUAUUUCGAACCGCAUGGUUCGAUAGUGAAAGGUGGUUUUGCUAUCACUUAUAGAUGGACCCGCGCCGUAUUAGCUAGUUGGUAAGGUAACGGCUUACCAAGGCGACGAUACGUAGCCGACCUGAGAGGGUGAUCGGCCACACUGGAACUGAGACACGGUCCAGACUCCUACGGGAGGCAGCAGCU
rnacentral:rRNA from 1 species